rnacentral:rRNA from 1 species
CAUGCCUACGGGACGCAGCAGUGGGGGAUAUUGCACAAUGGGGGAAACCCUGAUGCAGCGACGCCGCGUGUGGGAAGACGGUCCUCUGGAUUGUAAACCACUGUCCCCAGGGACGAAAAUGACGGUACCUGGGGAGGAAGCUCCGGCUAACUACGUGCCAGCAGCCGCGGUAAUACGGAGGAUGCGAGCGUUAUCCGGAUUUAUUGGGUUUAAAGGGUGCGCAGGCGGAGUUUUAAGUCAGCGGUCAAAUCGUGGGGCUCAACCCCAUCCAGCCGUUGAAACUGGGGAUCUAGAGUGUGCGAGAG